rnacentral:rRNA from 2 species
UACGGAGGGUGCAAGCGUUAUCCGGAUUUACUGGGUUUAAAGGGUGCGUAGGUGGGUAGGUAAGUCAGUGGUGAAAUCUUCGAGCUUAACUCGGAAACUGCCAUUGAUACUAUUUAUCUUGAAUACUCUGGAGGUAAGCGGAAUAUGUCAUGUAGCGGUGAAAUGCUUAGAUAUGACAUAGAACACCAAUUGCGAAGGCAGCUUACUACAUAGUUAUUGACACUGAGGCACGAAAGCGUGGGGAUCAAACAGG